rnacentral:rRNA from 1 species
UUCCGGUUGAUCCUGCCGGACCCUACUGCUAUCGGGAUGGGACUAAGACAUGCUAGUCGAGCGCCUCCUAGCCACGCUGGAGGCGCGGCACACAGCUCAGUAACACGUGGCUAACCUGCCCUUGGGACGGAAACAUCCCCGGGAAACUGGGGCCAAUUUCCGAUAGGCGAAGGUCUCUGGAACGAGUCUUCACCCAAAAGACGUUUGGGGCAUGCUCCUAGACGUUGCCCAAGGAUGGGGCCGCGGCCGAUCAGGUUGUUGGUGAGGUAACGGCUCACCAAGCCUAUUACCGGUACGGGCCGUGGGAGCGGUAGCCCGGAGAUGGGCACUGAGACAAGGGCCCAGGCCCUACGGGGCGCAGCAGUCGCGAAAACUUCGCAAUAAGCGAAAGCUUGACGAGGCCAUCCCGAGUGCCAUCUGCUGAGGAUGGCUUUUACCUAGUAUAGAUAGCUAGGGGAAUAAGGAGAGGGCAAGUCUGGUGUCAGCCGCCGCGGUAAUACCAGCUCUCCGAGUUGUGGGGACAUUUAUUGGGCCUAAAGCAUCCGUAGCCGGCUAAACAAGUCCCCUGUUAAAUCCAGCGACGAAUCGUUGGCCUGCGGGGGAUACUGUUCGGCUAGGGGGCGGGAGAGGCCGUCGGUAUUCUUGGGGUAGGGGUGAAAUCCUAUAAUCCCAGGAGGACCACCAGUGGCGAAGGCUGUCGGCUAGAACGCGCCCGACGGUGAGGGAUGAAAGCUGGGGGAGCGAACCGGAUUAGAUACCCGGGUAGUCCCAGCUGUAAACGAUGCAGGCUAGGUGUUAGGGCGGCUACGUGCCGCUCUAGUGCCGCAGGGAAGCUGUUAAGCCUGCCGCCUGGGGAGUACGGCCGCAAGGCUGAAACUUAAAGGAAUUGGCGGG